rnacentral:rRNA from 1 species
AACAUGUCUUCUUGAAAUAUAUAGGAAGUCUGACCUGCCCAGUGAUUUAAUUUAACGGCCGCGGUAUAUUGACCGUGCAAAGGUAGCAUAAUCAUUAGUCUUUUAAUAGGGGACUGGUAUGAAUGGUUCGACGAAAUAUUAACUGUCUCAGAUUAAUAUAUUAUAAUUUGAUUUUUGAGUCAAAAAGCUUAAAUUUUAUUGAAGGACGAGAAGACCCUAUAGAGCUUUAUAAUUGAUGUUAAUAAUUAUUUUAAUUUAUUUUUUAUUUUUUUACAUUAAUUUUUUUGUUGGGGUGACAACAAAUAUAAGAAUAACUUUUUUAUUUAUAUUACAUUUAUACAUGGUUAUUAGAUCCAUUAUUAUUGAUUAUUAGAUUAAGUUACCUUAGGGAUAACAGCGUAAUCUUCCUUCAGAGUUCAUAUUUACAGGGAGGGUUGCGACCUCGAUGUUGGAUUAAGAUUAUAAUUAGGUGUAGCAGCUUAAUCUAUAGGUCUGUUCGACCUUUAAAUUCUUACAUG